rnacentral:rRNA from 1 species
ACGCGAGCUGGGUUCAGAACGUCGUGAGACAGUUCGGUCCCUAUCCGUCGCAGGCGUAGGAAAUUUGAGAAGACCUGUCCUUAGUACGAGAGGACCGGGAUGGACGUACCUCUGGUGUACCAGUUGUUCUGCCAAGGGCAUGGCUGGGUAGCUAUGUACGGAAUGGAUAAGCGCUGAAAGCAUCUAAGCGCGAAGCCAACUUCAAGAUAAGAUUUCCCACCGCAAGGGUAAGACCCCAGAAAGACUAUCUGGUUGAUAGGUCGAAAGUGUAAGUGCAGCAAUGUAUUUAGCUUAUCGAUACUAAUAGGUCGAGGACUUGACCAA